AAACACAAUUUUAUAAUUGAAAAGUACAAAAACAAUACAUUACAGAUAGAUACAAAUACCCAUAUUUAAGCAAAAUUAUUGCUCACUAAAAGCUAACUUUUAAAUAAAAUGAUGUAAGAAGAUGUGAGAAAGAAGCUCUGAAAUUUUUAUACACUAUUUUUUGGCGGGAAUGUGUGUAUUUUGGUGUAUUUUUAUUGUGUUUUUAUAUAUUUUUAUAUAUAGAGUAGAUUAUAUAUAAUGAUUUAUUUUCUGAAAGGAGGAAUAAUAAUGGAAUAAUUAAAUAAAUACAGCCCAAUUAAAUAAAUACAGCCUAAUAAAUUCAGCCCAAUUAAAUAAAUACAGCCCAAUAGUGAUAAAUUAAAUACAGCCCAUGUCAUCUCAUUUUAGGGUUCAGCCGGCCUCUUCUCCCUCGUUCAUCUUCUCCCAGUCCAAACCUUUCUCCUUCUUCCACAUGCGCCGCUGCCGGCGAGAAGCCACGGUCGCCGAUGCUCUCCCUCGUCUUCUCUCUCCCUUUGUCUCACCCUCUAUUUGUGAACACCCAUCUCCCUCGGGCUCUCAAGUUUCGCAACUGAACGGUGGCAAAGCCGCCGUCCAAAAGCCCUAGAUCCCCGCUCUAUGCGGCGUCGCUUCCCUCGUUGACGACGAUAAAUGCGCCGCUGCGUCCCUCUGCACACCCCAAGCCCUAGCCUCCAGAACUCGGCCUCCUCUUCUCGCUCAUCUGCAUCCUUCUCCUCUUAUUCCCCUUCUUCCUCGUCUGCUCUUAUUCCCCUUCUUCCUCGUCUGCCCAUUUAUCGAGCAUCGCUUUCUCUAGCCACUCCAAAAAAAAAACCUAGCUUUCGCCCCCUCCCCCUCUUCUCUUUGAACACCUAAAUUUUAAAAUCGGACAAAAAUGUUGACACCGCAAAAGGAGAAGCAGCCGCUAACGCCACCACAUCUUCGGCCCACGGCCCCCUCCGCCUGCAUAUUUAAUUCCACGCUUCUCCAUAUAAAUAUUUGUGUUCUUGUUAAUGUGGAUGUUUCUUGUCAGUGUGUGUUUGUGACACUAUUUUGGCAAAUUAAUUUUCAGUUUUUCGUGUUUUCUUAUUAUUCUUGGUAAAUAUCUUCACAAAGUGUUAGCUUAAAGCUGAAGAUCUUUAGGUUCAUUCGCAUAUUAUUUUUUCUUUUUUAACUUUUUCAUUUUUUGUGUUUAUGGUAUCAUUUUUGUAGAUCUAGGAAUAUCUACUCAAAUUGGUUCUUAAACCAACAAUUUUUGUUUUUGCAGAUUAGUUUUUUAUUAUACAGAGAACAUCUUUAUAUUUUUUCACAUAUUACUUUUGCAGAUCUAUGAACAUUUUAAUUUUUUUUUGCAUGUAGAUCUACCAGUUUAUACACAAAUGGGUAUUAUGUGCUUGUGGGUUAUCACUCCGACGCCUCUUGGUUACGGCAAGUCCUCUGUCAAGCAGAUUUUCUUGAUAAAUAGGUGCAGAAGCUGAUGAAAAGAAGGUGCAGACAUUGAAGCAAAAGCUGAUGAAGAAAAAAAGAAGUUGAUGAAGAAAAAAGAGAGGCAAGAACAAAAGCCAGAAGCUGCUGAAAAUAAGAAAGAAAAAGGUGAUGAAGGAAAAAGAGGAAAGAAAGAGAAGAAGCUGCAGGAAAAAAUGAAACGAAAGAGAAGAAUGCAAAUGAAAAAAAUGGCUGGGGAGAGGGGAAAUAUAAAGAAGAUAUCUUGGUGGCUAAGUUUUGUAUUAAUUGGCUCUGCAAUACAUGUUGUCUUGAGCCCCACAAUUUGUAGUUUUAAAUGUGUAUAUUAUAGAUAUCUCAGCAAAUUGUACAAUAAAAAUCUUAAAAUGAUAUGGUGAACAGUAAAUCCGCAGCAUCACAGCUGUAUUCUAUUUCAGCA